rnacentral:lncRNA from 1 species
GCCGGUAGUCACCCAACUAUUUUAUUUAUCUUUCCCCUCCUUUCCUUUCCCUAUUCCUUUUUCCCAUUUCUUUUCUCCACUACCUUCUUGUCCCAUGUGGCUGGUUGGUCGGAUGGCCGACUGUGCCCCUCGUAGCCAUCACUCUCUUCCCUUUUCUCUUAUUCUUCUUCCUUUCUUUUCAUCUCAUUCUUUUUUUCUUUUUUCCCUUUCAUUCUCUCUCUUCGUCACCGAGGACUACCUAGUUGUCCAAUGACCACAACCCUUUGUCACUCACUUCUCAUUUGUCUGAUCUAGUCAUUUUUUCGGUUAAAGGAGUUUUUUUUUUUCAAAAUAAGAAUCCCUUUCGAGUUGAUGGUGGCUUAGGUUUUCUCAAGUCCAUGGUAACUUAUUUUCUUAAGCUCAACGAAGCUCG